rnacentral:ncRNA from 2 species
AAAUAGUUUAUAUAUACAGGCGCUCGUUAUGAGCUUAAUAGGGAACCCCGUUAAAAUCGGGGACGGACCCGCCUCUGUAACCGGGGACGAAAACCGCAGAAUGGCUGUUAAGAUAAAAGUCGCCAUUCGCAAAGACACUGUCAGAAUAAGCAUAAAAUCCGAUGGGAAGUCGCGGUUAGUAGGAUGAUCCGGAAGUCAGAAUACCUGUCUGUAUAUAAAAGGCUGA